rnacentral:tRNA from 1 species
GAGGUUUAUGCCAAAAAGAAAGCUUCUAACUUGCCUUUUAAGCGGUUUAAUUCCGUUUAAAUCUCU